rnacentral:misc_RNA from 1 species
CCGAGUGAGGGCCUCUGGCCCGACCUCCAACCCUUUUGUUAUUCAAACCAUUUGUUGCCUCGGGGGCUCCCUACAGCCUACUGGCGUGGGGCCCCCGGUGGACCAUUUAUAAAUUCUGCAUCUUUGCGUCGGGUUCAAAAGUUUAAUAAUUA